ACGUAGGGGGCAAGCGUUAUCCGGAUUUAUUGGGCGUAAAGCGCGCGUAGGCGGCCCGUUAAGUCAGAUGUGAAAACCGGGGGCUUAACCCGCGGACUGCAUUUGAUACUGGCAGGCUUGAGUCUGGUAGAGGAAAGUGGAAUUCCUGGUGUAGCGGUGAAAUGCGCAGAUAUCAGGAGGAACACCAGUGGCGAAGGCGGCUUUCUGGGCCACGACUGACGCUAAGGCGCGAAAGCUAGGGGAGCAAACAGG
rnacentral:rRNA from 1 species